GAAGCCGGAAUCGCUAGUAAUCGCGGAUCAGCAUGCCGCGGUGAAUACGUUCCCGGGCCUUGUACACACCGCCCGUCACACCACGAGAGUUUGUAACACCCGAAGUCGGUGGGGUAACCUUUAUGGAGCCAGCCGCCGAAGGUGGGAUAGAUGAUUGGGGUGAAGUCGUAACAAGGUAGCCGUAUCGGAAGGGGCGGCUGGAUCACCUCCUUUCUAAGGA
rnacentral:rRNA from 1 species